AAGGAUAGGAUUGCAUGCGUGAGAUUACCCUGCAGAGUUAAGUAAAGGUAUAGAUUAAUUGGUUAGACUGGGAAAAAAAUCUUCCAAGAAUCAGUCUAGAUUACUAAUUAGUGGUUAUAGCUGGAAGUCACUGAAUAUGAGCAAGAUUGGUGUUAGUUGUGAUGUCCCAAGGUGGAAGGCUGGUCACCACAUUCUAAAUUCCCACAAGAAGGAUUAUCAUUCAGGCUAGUCAAGAGAGGGCAUUUAUAGUUAGUUUCAGGAGAAGGAUGAGAUAAAUCAGAUUAGGAGAAAAACUCCAGAGCCCGUAAAGGGGAUUAUACUAUUUUAUUGCCAUUAGGAAAAGAGAACACUGAAGAAAUUCAAACUGAUAAAGAGCCUGAGUAGAUACUCAGCAGAUCAUACAAUUGCAGAGGAGAAGGUGCUGAAAGUGAGAACACUGUCCGUUGAAGUCCGAGAUGUUUAAAAAUCUUCUGCAAGCUUCUUGUUUCAGUCUGGAAUGUGCCACAAUGACAUAGUGAUGCUGGUGUUUUGUCAAUGUGAGCAGACAUGAAGCCACUAACUGCCUAUGACGAAUGCCCUGACGUGUUGGGGGACAGUGGUCAAGGUGCAUGCUGGGAGAAAAUGCCAGUGAGCUGCAGCUUCUAAAUGCCACUUCUAAACUUCAAAUUGGGAAUUAGUGCCAUCUAAUUUCUCUCUGCUACCUCAGAAACCAGGAACUGGCAUAGGAAUGACACAAGAUUAGGUUUGCCCACCAGGGAGAGGAGGAAGAAUGAUGUGGCUAAAUACGCAAAGACUUCCAUGGAUUCCAGCAAGACCUACAUUGGCAGCAAUGAUUGGAGAAUACAAUUGAGUGUGAAGAGCACGUGUGGAUGGAAGUCCACAGCUUCAUAGAAUCUUCUCUGGAACCAAUGGAUGAUGCAAUAAAGGCAAGAGAAAGAAGUCGAGGGAAUGGGUGGAGGAGGUCAGCAGCCUCACCAAAUAGGUGUGGUUACAAAUCACACACUCUGUCAGCAACCAAUUUAUGGUGCUGAGAACUUGGAUCAAAAACAAAGGUUAACUGACCUCAUGAGAUCUGGCAAGGUACUUGUCCUACAACUUGCAGGCAUCAUUCUUUUGCCUCUCCAUAAUUCUCUUGAAAUGCCCUCCUCUGACUGACAUGUCUUGCUACACAUUUCUGUCUCUCCAAUCUCUUCCUCACAUGUCCACCUCAGCAGACAGCACACAUAUUCAACCUCAAAGUAUUGCCUUCAUACUCCCAUCACCCUCCUCAAAUAUUUACAUUCCUUCCUAGUUAUCAGUUCAUUUUUACAUUCUUAACUCUAAAUUUCUGCAUUAGGAAAAGAGAGCCCACUACCCACAAAGAGGUGAAGAAUUAGGGAUGAAAUUGCAGCAAUGACCUUGUUAACCACAAUGGAGGAGGAAACAAAGUGGAACUAGUACAGACAGUUGGUGAUGGAGUGAUAAGAUGACUCAGAGGCUUUGUGACAGCAUUACAUAUCACAGUGCACUUAGCACUUUGGUGUCAAUUAUGUUGAAAUGAAUGUCACUAAUACAUUAAAUGUCAUGAUCUGCACUAUGAAAAACUUUGUAUACUAUUGCACUUAGACACAAAUUGUUGCUGAAUUUUUCAUUAUCCUGGCACAUUGAUGAUGCUGGUGGAAAAAAAUGCCUGGAAACAUGGUUCGGAGUUGCCAGUGUUGGACUGGGGUGUACAAUGUUAAAAAUCACACAACACCAGGUUACAGAACAAC